rnacentral:rRNA from 1 species
CCUACGGGAGGCAGCAGUAGGGAAUAUUCCGCAAUGGGCGAAACCCUGACGGAGCAACGCCGCGUGAGUGAUGAAGUUUUUCGGUAUGUAAAACUCUAUCAGCAGGGAAGAAAAUGAGGGUAACUGAUUAAGAAGCCCCGGCUAGCUCCGUACCAGCAGCCGCGGUAAUACGUAGGGGGCAAACGUUAUCCGGAUUUACUGGGUGUAAAGUGAGCGUAGACGGCAGUACAAGUCUGGAGUGAAAUGCCGUGGCUUAACCCUGGAACAGCUUUGGAAACUGUGCAGCUAGAGUGCAGGAGAGGAAAGUGGAAUUCCGAGUGUAGCGGUGAAAUGCGCAGAUAUAAGGAGGAACACCAGUGGCGAAGGCGGCUUACUGGACUGUAACUGACGUUGAUGUGCGAAAGCGUGGGGAGCAAACAGGAUUAGAUACCCGAGUAGUC